AAUGCUGCGCCCUGGAGAUCGCUGUUAAAUAAACCGAAGACCACUGCACAACUUGUGUAAAAGUAAAUCGUUUUUCCACACUCACUUAUGUGUGGCAUGGUGUAUAAUUUACGACAACUUUACAACUUAAUCUAAUGAUGGACGUGCAGAAGGAAUUUCUGUUUUAUUAUCUUCCCUAAUAAUAAAGCGCGCAACGCUUCUGCCGUACGUUGCUGGUUAUUUUGCAAAAAGACCCCUCCCUUUUCUGGUAUUUAACCCGCAG
rnacentral:lncRNA from 1 species